AUUGAACGCUGGCGGCAGGCCUAACACAUGCAAGUCGAACGGUAACAGGAAGAAGCUUGCUUCUUUGCUGACGAGUGGCGGACGGGUGAGUAAUGUCUGGGAAACUGCCUGAUGGAGGGGGGUAACUACUGGAAACGGUAGCUAAUACCGCAUAACGUCGCAAGACCAAAAAGGGGGACCUUCGGGCCUCUUGCCAUCGGAUGUGCCCAGAUGGGAUUAGCUAGUAGGUGGGGUAACGGCUCACCUAGGCGACGAUCCCUAGCUGGUCUGAGAGGAUGACCAGCCACACUGGAACUGAGACACGGUCCAGACUCCUACGGGAGGCAGCAGUGGGGAAUAUUGGACAAAGGGCGCAAGCCUGAUGCAGCCAUGCCGCGUGUAUGAAGAAGGCCUUCGGGUUGUAAAGUACUUUCAGCGGGGAGGAAGGGAGUAAAGUUAAUACCUUUGCUCAUUGACGUUACCCGCAGAAGAAGCACCGGCUAACUCCGUG
rnacentral:rRNA from 1 species